rnacentral:tRNA from 1 species
GCCCCUGUAGCUCAGCAGGAUAGAGCAUCCGCCUCCUAAGCGGAAGGUCGUGCGUUCGAAUCGCGCCAGGGGCGCCA